rnacentral:rRNA from 1 species
AUACGUAGGGUGCAAGCGUUAAUCGGAAUUACUGGGCGUAAAGCGUGCGCAGGCGGUUCGGAAAGAAAGAUGUGAAAUCCCAGAGCUUAACUUUGGAACUGCAUUUUUAACUACCGGGCUAGAGUGUGUCAGAGGGAGGUGGAAUUCCGCGUGUAGCAGUGAAAUGCGUAGAUAUGCGGAGGAACACCGAUGGCGAAGGCAGCCUCCUGGGAUAACACUGACGCUCAUGCACGAAAGCGUGGGGAGC